GAUGAACGCUGGCGGCGUGCCUAAUACAUGCAAGUCGAGCGAACAGACGAGGAGCUUGCUCCUCUGACGUUAGCGGCGGACGGGUGAGUAACACGUGGAUAACCUACCUAUAAGACUGGGAUAACUUCGGGAAACCGGAGCUAAUACCGGAUAAUAUAUUGAACCGCAUGGUUCAAUAGUGAAAGACGGUUUUGCUGUCGCUUAUAGAUGGAUCCGCGCCGCAUUAGCUAGUUGGUAAGGUAACGGCUUACCAAGGCAACGAUGCGUAGCCGACCUGAGAGGGGGAACGGCCACACUGGAACUGAGACACGGUCCAGACUCCUACGGGAGGCAGCAGUAGGGAAUCUUCCGCAAUGGGCGAAAGCCUGACGGAGCAACGCCGCGUGAGUGAUGAAGGUCUUCGGAUCGUAAAACUCUGUUAUUAGGGAAGAACAAAUGUGUAAGUAACUAUGCACGUCUUGACGGUACCUAAUCAGAGAGCCACGGCUAACUACGUG
rnacentral:rRNA from 1 species